rnacentral:rRNA from 1 species
UACGUAGGUGGCAAGCGUUGUCCGGAAUUAUUGGGCGUAAAGCGCGCGCAGGCGGUUAUGUAAGUCUGAUGUUAAAGCCCGAGGCUCAACCUCGGUUCGCAUUGGAAACUGUGUAACUUGAGUGCAGAAGAGGAAAGUGGUAUUCCACGUGUAGCGGUGAAAUGCGUAGAGAUGUGGAGGAACACCAGUGGCGAAGGCGACUUUCUGGUCUGUAACUGACGAUGAGGCGCGAAAGAGUGGGGAGCAAACAGG